UUAAGAGAGAGAGAGGAUAAACAUCAAAAUAGCUUCUCAUUGGAAAGACUGUGGAAUAAUCUAAUACGUGAAGACACGGAAGUCCGAAACAAAUGUAGUAUAAAUUCCUUCCCAGAGUCUUUGCAGAUACAAGCAUCGGCCACAAUUAACUUCAGAAGCUGAAUAUUUCUAAGCAACUGGUAUCAGCUUCCAGAAGAAGCUGGGGGCAGGGGGAGAGGCAGGUUAAAAGGGAUAGUUUCCAGAUAAUUCGGUGUUAACACUCAUUCAAAAGCAUGUAAGGGGAGGAGACAAAAGAACACUUUUAUUUUCAGUUCGGUGUGUGAAGUGAGCACACUGGAACCCCCCAAAAGUGCAGUUCUGGCAAUCUAGACAGUAGCCUGUUCCUGGAUGGAUAGUUUUCCGGUCGAGACAGAUAGUUGGUUUAAAUCUGCCUCAGGUCUGAAGUGACUGGAAAUCAACACCAGAUAAUGGCUGUUUGGUAGAUGAUGUGACAUGGGUUAAUGCACUCGGCCAAAUUUCUACUGGAUAUUGGACAUGCGCUCACAUUACAAAUGCUUCCAACAGCAUGCUCAGUAUUAAAUUAACAUCUAUGCUGACAAUCUUGCCAAAGAAAUCCAGAAGAGGAUGGACAUUAGUGAUGAACUGCACGUUCACCUUUGGAGUGAAGUCAUUAGCAAGCUUUCGUCAUGUGGCUGGAGCCAACUCUCCCGAAUUUGCAAAGAUCGACAGCUCCAGAGCUCACUGGGCCCCAUCCAACGCUCACAGGCCGUGAUGGAGGCAUUUCCAUGGAGCCGGACAGACGGUGGAUCACGACCCGGACUCAGGAGCAUAACUACAUUUCAUCAUUUUUGGAUGCAUGCCCCCAAUAUUUUGGACCUCCAUGGGGCAGAAGCCACUGAGACUGCAUCUAAUUGAGACUACUGAACUGCAAAACAGUGUCGGCACAGCGUCAUUUACACGUGGAAAUGGAGCAAGCUGAGAU
rnacentral:lncRNA from 1 species